UGUAUGUGAGUGUGUGAGUGUGCCUGGUGCAUGUGUUUGUUUGUAUUUGCCAGUGAGAUUUUCGCCUACUUUGCAAGGAAUACAUUGUGACAGACUGAUUAGUGAUCUUUACUGUGACUCCUCCAACCACCUUUUGACUCCGUGCACAGGAAGCGGCACAGUGACGCGCAUCUGUCCCGAGCCGACGCCGAGGAAGUCCCCUGAUGAAGAUGUAAAGUAAUAUCCCUGCAGCCCAUGAGCUUCGACAGUUACCUCUGGAUUUGCUGGGGCUUGGGCUGGAGUGGCUGCGAGAGGGAAAAGUGCUAAUCUACACGGCAGAAUCGGGAUUAGCAUGGUGAGCCAGGUGACCRGAGGGCCUGAUAUCUUACAGGCCACAAGAGAUGUAGACCCGGGGUCCUGGGGGGGGGGCUGCCUAGAGAAAUCAAGAAGGAGCCUUGAUGAGAAUUCCACUAAUCAGCUGAGGAUUAACAGCGACUCAGACAACACUACAUCUAAUUCCCCCUUCAUCACCGCUGGGGUAACAAGAGGCCUCACACAGCAGCAUGGCGCAGACGUGUAUGUGGACUUAUUUCUGUGGAGCUCCUAAUUGUUUUUUUUUUUACUUUGAACAUCUGUGCUAACCGGUAUUAGCAACUUAAGUUUUAGGGAAAUUGCUCUACUGCAGUUGUAGUUUUCAAUGUGCUUUUUAUAUGUGAAUGUACUUAUUAAAUAUUUUUGCUUUUUUUUCUGAAACACAAACGACGCUUUGCUUCUUGAUUUUGAUUUUUACCUUAAAUAAUAAAACAAAAAUGACCAGGAGGCAAAAACAACGUAGCUGUGCACUGAAGAGGCUCGAAUCAGCGCUUGAAAUAAUGUUAAGUUGUUAUUUUGUAUGUAUUUGUGUGUUUUGUCUGGUUUUGAAUAUUUUUUAUGGCACAAAACAUGAAGACAGGAUUUGAUCUCUAUGAUUUACCCAGAACUGCUGAGUGAGGUUAACGGUGAUUGCAGAUGUACUGGUAUCCCUUAUUUAUUGCACUUAGUUGUGUUGAUUGUUGCAGUAGAAGAAGAGAAAACAUACAAGCAGGAGGAGAGUGUAACUUUAUUUCUAAAUGACAAAUCAGACGAGCUAAUUGUUUAUUAAAAAAAUCAUUAAAAAGCAUGCUUUUGAAUGAAA